CCUACGGGUGGCAGCAGUGAGGAAUAUUGGUCAAUGGACGCAAGUCUGAACCAGCCAUGCCGCGUGCAGGAAGACGGCUCUAUGAGUUGUAAACUGCUUUUGUACGAGGGUAAAUUCCGACACGUGUGUCGGGUUGAAAGUAUCUUACGAAUAAGGAUCGGCUAACUCCGUGCCAGCAGCCGCGGUAAUACGGAGGAUUCAAGCGUUAUCCGGAUUUAUUGGGUUUAAAGGGUGCGUAGGCGGGUCGUUAAGUUAGAGGUGAAAUCCCGGGGCUCAACUCCGGCACUGCCUUUGAUACUGGCGGGCUAGAGUGUAGUUGCGGUAGGCGGAAUGUAUGGUGUAGCGGUGAAAUGCUUAGAGAUCAUGCAGAACACCGAUUGCGAAGGCAGCUUACCAAGCUACUUCUGACGUUGAGGCACGAAAGCGUGGGGAGCAAACAGGAUUAGAUACCCGUGUAGUC
rnacentral:rRNA from 1 species